rnacentral:rRNA from 1 species
GGACCCGCACAAGUAGUGGAGCAUGUGGUUUAAUUCGAUGUACGCGAGGAACCUUACCAGGACUUAAAUGUAAGUUGCAUGAUUCAGAAAUGAAUCUUUCUUCGGACUACUUACAAGGUGCUGCAUGGUUGUCGUCAGCUCGUGCCGUGAGGUGUCAGGUUAAGUCCUAUAACGAGCGCAACCCCUAUCGUUAGUUGCCAUCAAGUAAAGUUGGGAACUCUAGCGAAACUGCCGGUGCAAACCGAGAGGAAGGUGGGGAUACGUCAAAUCAUCACGGCCCUUACGUUCUGGGCUACACACGUGCUACAAUGGUCGGUACAGAAGCAGCCACUAUGCGAAUAGGAG